rnacentral:rRNA from 1 species
CGAAAGCGAGUCUUAAUAGGGCGUCGAGUUCGUGGGAUCAGACCCGAAACCGAGUGAUCUAGGCAUGGCCAGGUUGAAGGUUGGGUAACACCAACUGGAGGACCGAACCCACAUCCGUUGAAAAGGAUCGGGAUGAGCUGUGCCUAGGGGUGAAAGGCCAAUCAAACUCGGAUAUAGCUGGUUCUCCGCGAAAUCUAUUUAGGUAGAGCGUCGAUCGAAUACUCUUGGGGGUAGAGCACUGACUGGGCUAGGGGUCCUCACCGGAUUACCAAACCUUAUCAAACUCCGAAUACCAAGAAGUACUAAUCGGCAGACACACGGCGGGUGCUAACGUCCGUCGUGGAGAGGGAAACAACCCUGACCACCAAUUAAGGUCCCCAAAUAAUGGCUAAGUGUGAAAGGAUGUGGGAUUGCUUUGACAAUGAGGAGGUUGGCUUAGAAGCAGCCAUCCUUUAAAGAAAGCGUAACAGCUCACUCAUCAAGCGAUCCUGCGCCGAAAAUGUAACGGGGCUAAAGCCAUUUACCGAAAUUGUGGGCUCGAAAGAGCGGUAGCGGAGCGUUCCGUAAGCCUGUGAAGGU